CGGAGGAGCACCGCGCCGUUCACGCACCCAAAGCAGAGCCCGAGUCGAGCUCGCGCCCUGGACCAUCCCUUGCGCGGACGCAAGCCAAAUCCUUAGGGAAACCUAGCGCAACCCUUUUCCCCAUCUCCUGUUGCCUCACGCUUCGUCCGAGCUCGAACCAAUCUCGCCAAAAAGCUUCGGGGUCUGCCGCCAUCGCUGGUAGAUUUCGUCUCCGUUACCGAACGAGCCUGCCGAGCUUGACCGCCGCCGCUGGAGCAUGCCGUGGUUCACCUCGUCGCCGUCGCCUACAGAGGGAGCUAUGCCGCCGUUGAGCACCACCAUCGUCACCGCCACCGCACAUCGCACCCGCCCGUCACCUCUUCUUCGCCGGAGACCCACCGGAGGAGCGCCACCGCCGCCGCUGCUUCCCUCUACUUUUGGAUGUUUAGACGAAGAGUAAGGUACCGUUAGGGUCGCGAGUCUGCACUCAGCAUCGUCAGUGGGCUAUGAUGGGACUCAUCAUUAUUUUCUACUACUUUCCCGCUGAUUGAUUGAAUAAAGCUAGCCAGGUGCUAUGCAAAUUGUUUUAUUUUAUAUACUUUGAAUCAUAUG